AGGGCACCACCAGGAGUGGAGCCUGCGGCUUAAUUUGACUCAACACGGGGAAACUCACCCGGCCCGGACACCGGAAGGAUUGACAGAUUGAUAGCUCUUUCUUGAUUCGGUGGAUGGUGGUGCAUGGCCGUUCUUAGUUGGUGGAGCGAUCUGUCUGGUUAAUUCCGAUAACGAACGAGACUCUAGCCUAUUAAAUAGACGUCGGGUUCUCUGCACUCGACGGUCUUCUUAGAGGGACAAGGUGCUUUUAGCACCGCGAGACAGAGCAAUAACAGGUCUGUGAUGCCCUUAGAUGUCCGGGGCCGCACGCGCGCUACACUGAAGGAAGCAGCGUGUAACAACCUUGUUCUAACGAACUGGGUAACCCGUGGAACUUCCUUCAUGAUUGGGAUAGGGGUUUGCAAUUGUGCCCCUUGAACGAGGAAUUCCCAGUAAACACUAGUCAUCAGCUAGUGCUGAUUACGUCCCUGCCCUUUGUACACACCGCCCGUCGCUACUACCGAUUGAAUGGUUUAGUGA
rnacentral:rRNA from 1 species